GGGGGGAAGUACACUGUAGAGGUUAUUAACUGUGUUGAUCACUCAUCCAUUCAUUUCCGGGAAGGUCUGAGACAAGAACCAAUCGCUGUCUUCACAGGACAUCAUCUGAACAGAUGAGCGAGCGCACAAGGAAGAUGGGUCAGAAUGCGGUGUUCACGCACAAGACGGUGGAACGCAGAAUGGCGAACCAACUGAUGCGAACCCCGGUGACUUCGAAACACUCGCGGCUGGCGCAAUGAGUUCAAUGUGUGAACUGGCGCAAGAUGCUAGAACCCAAUUCAGACUACUCUCCUACCACUCC
rnacentral:RNase_P_RNA from 1 species